CAAGAGUUGAAAAACUCCCUAAACCCACUGUGAACCUACCUGUAUUUGUUGCUUCGGCGGGCUGCCCCAGGGCGGGGUUCUAGGCCUUAUAGGUGCCCGCCGACGGCCCAUUACAAACUCUUUUGUUAUUUGGGUGCUCUGAGUGAAGAUCAAAUGAGUCA
rnacentral:misc_RNA from 1 species